rnacentral:misc_RNA from 1 species
UUACUUGCUCUGGUUGCAUUCCUCUACUAACUUUCGUCCUAUUGUUAGAAAUUUAAAUGAAUUUUAUCCCAUUGCUACCUACUCCAUUCUGGGAAUAGGAAUAGACAGAGUUUGAUUCCUAUCUUGCAACUUAAAACUCCAUGUUUUGGCUCAUGACACUACUCUAAUUAUGACCUGCUUUAAGUCCUACACUUCUGAAUUCUAAAUCUUGACAACUAUCCUUACUCAUGUAAUCUCAUUCUGGGCUUUCUAAUAUCGCUUUUCAG